GCUGACCAUCUAAUUCUCCCCUGUUUGGGCAUGUUUGCCCCUUUGGGCGGUUCUGCUUACGGGAUUCACAACAGUGUCCCACCCUUUUACCCCAUCCAUGGAAACCCUGCUUCACUGGACACUGCUGUUAGGGAUUAUGGAUUUACUUGAAAGAUGAAAGUGAGAGAUUAGCACAGGUUAUGUGUUUUCUAAAAGACAUAUAUCCUGUAAGUUUU